AAAGGAAUUGACGGGGGCCCGCACAAGCAGCGGAGCAUGUGGUUUAAUUCGAAGCAACGCGAAGAACCUUACCAGGUCUUGACAUCGAUGGAACCUGUAGAGAUACGGGGUGCCCUUCGGGGCCCUGAAGACAGGUGGUGCAUGGUUGUCGUCAGCUCGUGUCGUGAGAUGUUGGGUUAAGUCCCGCAACGAGCGCAACCCUUGUUGUCAGUUACUAACGCGUAGGGGCGAGGACUCUGACGAGACUGCCGGGGACAACUCGGAGGAAGGUGGGGACGACGUCAAAUCAUCAUGCCCCUUAUGACCUGGGCUACACACGUGCUACAAUGGCCACUACAAAGAGGAGCGAGGUCGCAAGACGGAGCGGAUCUGAGAAAAGUGGUCUCAGUUCAGAUCGUGGGCUGCAACCCGCCCACGUGAAGUCGGAGUUGCUAGUAAUCGCGAAUCAGCAUGUCGCGGUGAAUACGUUCCCGGGCCUUGUACACACCGCCCGU
rnacentral:rRNA from 1 species